GGAUACAGCCUGUAAUGCUCUCAAGCUGUCUGAACCAUGAGCCAUCUCUCUGGCUUUUCAGAGCCUCUUCGUAAGAGCUGCUCUCUGUGAAACUCCUUAUGGCAACGCUGUCGAGAAGCAAAGACGCCUGCGGAUGAUUUCUGUUGCGAACUUCUCAUGCAAUGCAACCCACAGUGUUUGAGUGGUCCCAAGGACAGGGACAAUACGUCAGAGGAAGCAGUUGCAAGUUUCAGAAGCUUUGCUUAAAUUGAUGUCAGAAGAACCAUAACUAGAGAAUGGAAGGAGAAGGAACUUGCCGUCACCUGAAGCUUAAACGUAUGAGUUUCCUGAAGGCACCUCUGUAGCCAGGCACUGUUCAACAGCUAGAAUAAACCAAGAAAAAGAAAGUUGGAAAAUAUGGUUAUAGUCUC